rnacentral:lncRNA from 1 species
UGCGGUCAAUCUCAGAGAGGAAAAGCCACACUCCUCUCCAUAUUUUCAUACAAAAACAAGUCCCAAGACACCAAAGAGAUGGUAGGGAUACACACAGAUCAACGAUCCAUUCUGAUCUGUCCAGAGACAACUCAAUGUCCAUCCAUCAAGGAGGAAUUCAGAAUACAUCAAGAUUACAAGCCCUGAAGAAGCAGGCAAAAU